rnacentral:rRNA from 1 species
AUUGAACGCUGGCGGCAGGCCUAACACAUGCAAGUCGAACGGUAACAGGAAGAAGCUUGCUUCUUUGCUGACGAGUGGCGGACGGGUGAGUCAUGUCUGGGAAACUGCCUGAUGGAGGGGGAUAACUACUGGAACCGGUAGCUAAUACCGCAUAACGUCGCAAGACCAAAGAGGGGGACCUUCGGGCCUCUUGCCAUCGGAUGUGCCCAGAUGGGAUUCGCUAGUAGGUGGGGUAACGGCUCACCUAGGCGACGAUCCCUAGCUGGUCUGAGAGGAUGACCAGCCACACUGGAACUGAGACACGGUCCAGACUCCUACGGGAGGCAGCAGUGGGGAAUAUUGCACAAUGGGCGCAAGCCUGAUGCAGCCAUGCCGCGUGUAUGAAGAAGGCCUUCGGGUUGUAAAGUACUUUCAGCGGGGAGGAAGGGAGUAAAGUUAAUACCUUUGCUAAUUGACGUUACCCGCAGAAGAAGUACCGGCUAACUCCGUG